GGCAAGGUGGCCGAGCGGUCUAAGGCGUCAGGUUAAGGUCACACCUUAAUAUGCAGCUCCCAAGCUUCCUGAUCAUCGUAAGAUGGCGUGGGUUCGAAUCCCACCCUUGUCA